UUCCGGCUUUCCAUCAGCCGGAUUAACUGUAGAGGCACACCAUCAUUGCCGGAAGUGCGGUAGGGACCACCCUCCAAUCCAUGGCAGACAAAGCGGAUAACAUGCUCUCAGGCAAGAGGGCGUUUAUCCACCGUUCCGCGUUCAAUCGCUGACACGUCGC
rfam:Rhizobium oryziradicis strain N19 C457, whole genome shotgun sequence.